GGUUGGAGUCCCCCAAAAAGAGGGUCCGCUUCCCCACCUCCAGCGACCAGUCCUGUAUCUUUCUAAAAGUGCGUGGGUGUGUGUGUGGUUCCGGGCGCCCUAGGGAGCCAGGUGCCGCUGCAGAGGCCCUGUUUGGGGUAGAGGUGGAUAACUCAGAUGUUUGGGGUGUAAUCAGCUUUUCGCUUUUCAUUUGUCCCUUUCUCAUCAUAAACCGGACAAAUGACUCUGCAGUAGGCACAGGUAUUAAUUGGCUCCAGCUCUGAUC